rnacentral:sRNA from 10 species
GAGAGUAGUUGAGUAUUUCGUUGUUCAAAAGAUAACGAAGCCCGUGGCGGACCACUACUUUCACAAUCCACAACACAAAAACUUAUGACACUGAUUAAGUCAAAUUAAUUAUUAAGAAAUAAGCAAAAGUGUCCGUCAGGUAAUAGUGAAAGGUGACUACAUAGUAAUGAGCCGUUCAUUGCACGAAAGGAUCGCAAGUCUGAUCGUAUUCUUACCAAACACCUCUAAUCCCGCAAGGACUAGUUGGGGAGGCAUCCUCGAAGAGAGUCGAGUAAUAAGAGAGUAACUAUUAUCUCAAGGAGUGGUACACCUAAAAGACCGUCACUGAGAAAUACUUCUCAAAAGGAAGUGGAUAGGAGUAGAAACAAUAAUGACUCUAAAGGUUCUCACAAACAGGUGUAAUCUCAGCCU